GCGGGCCUCGCGACCCUCCUGCUUCCCUCCCCGCCCCGCGCCGCCUCUCUGGUUUGUGCGCCCGUCGCAGGUCGCAGGCCUCUUUGUCAGCUGGAGUUGCGCGGGCUGACGCGCCACUAUGUAGCGGGUUUCGGGCGGGCCACGCGUGCGGGACAGGAACCCAACCCCAGCCGACCUUGAGCUCCAGGAGUUCGUCUCUUACGUCUGCGGAAGUGCAGCUGCCUCAGUUCUUAGCGCAGCUCUACAAGUUUCACGCUGUUUAAGUCAUGAACCUACAAAAGCCUGUGAAAAAAUCUUUGAAGAUGCUCAGCUUGUUUCAGUCUGAAAUUUCUCCAAGACCAAUGAACAAAACAGGAUCAUGCCCUGAAUACACACCCAAGCUGCAGGCUCCUGCUUAGCCCUAUUUUGGUUUGGCCUCCAUGAGAUCUUCAGCCACAAUAGCAGGAGAUAAAAAUCUUCCUAGAAGCUUUCAUCAGCUGCAAGUUUUCUUACAGAAUGAAACUUUUCUGCUAUUUUUCUCAUAGUUAAUUGGCUAUUUGAGAAAACCGAAUUUCUGGCUCUCAGCAUUUAAUUGGAUUCUGUGGGUGACUGGAUGACCGCUUUGCACAUCACCAUGGGUAUCAUCCUUACCUUCUUUAAACCUUUUGUGCCAGUCAAAAAUUCUUGCUCUUGAUAUGUCAUCACCGGAAACUACUUUUUUUUUUUGUUUCUCUUUUGUGACAGGGUCUUCCUCUGUCACCCAGGCUGGAUGGAGUAUAGUGGAACAAUCAUAGUUCACUGCGGCCUUGGUACCCUAGGCUCAAGCGAUCCUCCCACCUCAGCCUCCUGAGUAGGUGGGACCACAGGUGUGUACCACCAGACCUGGCUAAUUUUGUUAUUGUUGUUUUUUAUAGAGGUGGGGGGGUCUCCCUAUGUUGCCCAGGCCUGUCUUGAACUCACGGGCUCAAGUGAUCCUCCUGCCUCAGCCUCCCAAAGUUCUGGGAUUACAGGGGUGAGCCACUGGACCCAGCCAGAAACUACUUUUAACAGUUCUAAUUGCCACUUGUCUUGGCUGUAUAUUCAGAAAUAGCCAGAUUGGAAUUAUGGUUUUUUGAUUGCUAUUGAUAGGGAGGUUCAAAUGCAAUAUACCAAAAUAGUCUAUUUCAGGUGUCUCACUGACAUAUUUAACUUUACACAAAAUUUAAUAUGAAUUCUUUGCUCUAACAGUCAACAAUUUUUAGGUCAACAAAAGAAUAACUCUAUUCACAUCUAAGAAAGUUAGUUGGCAACCUUAAAAGCUCUGUUGUAGCCAGCUGAAACAUAACCUAUUCCAGCAAUUUCACAAACUACACAAAGAAAAAUUGGUAAAUAUUUCAACAGAUGAGUACAAAUAAUCUUUGGAGAAGCUGAUAAAGAUUUCAGUGCUAUAUCAUCUUAGCCUGCUAUUUUCCCACCUACAAAAGGGUCGAAAAUAAAUCAGCUUUUUCUUGUCCAAUUAAUAGGAAAAUGAUAUAUGAAAUACUUUAAUUAUUAGUCGGCACUGUCCCACCCCGAAAGAACCUAAGACUUAAAAAUACAUCCUAAUAACAUGUAUAUUGCCACUUGGCUGUACACUGAAGACUCAGGUAUCUACAGUAUUUUGUAUUCUCUUCCCGAUUGCACGAUUUUUUCAGUGCUUUGCUUUCAGGGAAAACAGACUCAGGCUGGUCUUUCUUAUGGUAUUAAGUACAGGCUACUUUAAGAUAAUUUUGUGGUGUUUGCUAAAUUCAAGAAAUCAAUACAGGCCGGGCGUGGUAGCUCACACCUGUAAUCCCAGCACUUUGGGAGGCCGAUUCCGGCGGAUCACCUGAGGUCAGGAGUUCAAGACCAGCCUGGCCAACAUGGUGAAACCCCGUCUCUACAA
ensembl:lncRNA DANCR differentiation antagonizing non-protein coding RNA